AGAGCGAACGCUGGCGGCAGGCCUAACACAUGCAAGUCGAACGGACCCUUCGGGGUUAGUGGCGGACGGGUGAGUAACACGUGGGAACGUGCCUUUUGGUUCGGAAUAGCUCCUGGAAACGGGUGGUAAUGCCGAAUGUGCCCUUCGGGGGAAAGAUUUAUCGCCAUUAGAGCGGCCCGCGUCUGAUUAGCUAGUUGGUGAGGUAAUGGCUCACCAAGGCGACGAUCAGUAGCUGGUCUGGAGAGGAUGACCAGCCACAUUGGGACUGAGACACGGACCCAAACUCCGUACGGGAGGCAGCAGGUGGGGAAUCGUUGCGCGAAGUGGGACGAAAGCCGUGACGCAGCCAUCGCCGCGUGAAUGAUUGGAAGGUCUUAAGGAUUAGUUAAAAUUCUUUCGAACCGGG
rnacentral:rRNA from 1 species